rnacentral:rRNA from 1 species
CACGCCGUAAACGAUGUCGACUUGGAGGUUGUGCCCUUGAGGCGUGGCUUCCGGAGCUAACGCGUUAAGUCGACCGCCUGGGGAGUACGGCCGCAAGGUUAAAACUCAAAUGAAUUGACGGGGGCCCGCACAAGCGGUGGAGCAUGUGGUUUAAUUCGAUGCAACGCGAAGAACCUUACCUGGUCUUGACAUCCACAGAACUUUCCAGAGAUGGAUUGGUGCCUUCGGGAACUGUGAGACAGGUGCUGCAUGGCUGUCGUCAGCUCGUGUUGUGAAAUGUUGGGUUAAGUCCCGCAACGAGCGCAACCCUUAUCCUUUGUUGCCAGCGGUCCGGCCGGGAACUCAAAGGAGACUGCCAGUGAUAAACUGGAGGAAGGUGGGGAUGACGUCAAGUCAUCAUGGCCCUUACGACCAGGGCUACACACGUGCUACAAUGGCGCAUACAAAGAGAAGCGACCUCGCGAGAGCAAGCGGACCUCAUAAAGUGCGUCGUAGUCCGGAUUGGAGUCUGCAACUCGACUCCAUGAAGUCGGAAUCGCUAGUAAUCGUGGAUCAGAAUGCCACGGUGAAUACGUUCCCGGGCCUUGUACACACCGCCCGUCACACCAUGGGAGUGGGUUGCAAAAGAAGUAGGUAGCUUAACCUUCGGGAGGGCGCUUACCACUUUGUGAUUCAUGACUGGGGUGAAGUCGUAACAAGGUAACCGUAGGGGAACCUGCGGUUGGAUCACCUCCUUACCUUAAAGAAGC